CCUACGGGGAGCUGCAGUAGGGAAUCUUCCACAAUGGGCGAAAGCCUGAUGGAGCAACGCCGCGUGGGUGAAGCAGGUCUUCGGAUCGUAAAACCCUGUUGUUAGAGAAGAAAGUGCGUGAGAGUAACUGUUCACGUUUCGACGGUAUCUAACCAGAAAGCCACGGCUAACUACGUGCCAGCAGCCGCGGUAAUACGUAGGUGGCAAGCGUUAUCCGGAGUUAUUGGGCGUAAGGGGUGCGUAGGCGGAAGGUUAAGUCAGCGGUCAAAUGUCGGUGCGCAACACCGGCCUGCCGUUGAAACUGGUCUUCUUGAGUGAGCGAGAAGUAUGCGGAAUGCGUGGUGUAGCGGUGAAAUGCAUAGAUAUCACGCAGAACUCCGACGGCGAAGGCAGCAUACCGGCGCUCAACUGACGCUGAGGCACGAAAGCGUGGGGAUCGAACAGGAUUAGAUACCCCGGUAGUC
rnacentral:rRNA from 1 species